rnacentral:rRNA from 1 species
UACGAAGGGAGCUAGCGUUGUUCGGAAUCACUGGGCGUAAAGCGCACGUAGGCGGAUGUGUCAGUCAGGGGUGAAAUCCUGGAGCUCAACUCCAGAACUGCCCUUGAUACUGGCGGUCUCGAGUCCGGGAGAGGUGAGUGGAACUGCGAGUGUAGAGGUGAAAUUCGUAGAUAUUCGCAAGAACACCAGUGGCGAAGGCGGCUCACUGGCCCGGUACUGACGCUGAGGUGCGAAAGCGUGGGGAGCAAACAGG